UCAAUUUCCAGGCUGCAGAGAGACGACAGCAUCAGGAAGGUGGCUUCCUCAGUGUGAGGUUCACUCCGGUGUGCCGCCCCCUGCAGUUUCCCCAAACGUGAGAAACAACUGCAUCAUUUGUGGGAGAAGGGGGUGAAAAUCCAAA
rnacentral:snRNA from 1 species